CAGGGGACUGCAAACCAGAGGCUGGGUUAGGGCAGUGGCCCCAUCUUGGCCCCUAGGUGCCCUUGGACACUAACACUGUGACAGAAGGGUGGUGUCCACAUGACCAUCUCUGCCUUAAAAUAAAUGUUGUUACUUAGAAAAGUUAGAAAAAAA